GACACAGAGAGAGAGACAGAGGGUGAGAAAGUGUGUUCGUGUGGUCUGUGUGUGUUUGUGUUGUAGAGCAUUGGGCUAUACACAGACAGCCUGGUUUCCAGGCUAGCUGAGAAAUCCAUCUAGGUUUCCAUCUAGCUGAGGCUAGAUGUUGAACCCCAGGACCCAAUGGUAAUAAUUCACCUACAUAGGAUGGAAGGAGUUCUCUCAUGCUCCUGGAACUCUGGCUCCUGUUGAAGUUACCGACCCCUCAGCCCCCACAAGAGUAGCAUGGUUAGUAGUCACAUAGGCAAUGUCCCAAGCUUCUGACCUUCAGGCUAGACUCCUCCCCAGUUACCUAGCAACAGUAAAGAUAACAGCAUACCAUAAGAGGGGCUGCUUGGCCCCACCUUGCUCUCUUACUCCUUUUACUCCCCUUACACUCUUUUUUUUUUUUUUUUUUUUUUUUUUUGGUUUUGGUUUUGGUUUUGGGUUUGGGUUUUUUUUUUUUCCGAAACAGGGUUUCUCUGUGUAACUGGAACUCACUCUGUAGAUCAGGCUGGCUUCAAACUCAGAAAUCCACCUGCCUCUGCCUCCCAAGUGCUGGGAUUAAAGGCGUGCACCACCACACCAGGCUUCCUUACACUCUCCUUACUUUCUCCUCUUCUCUCCUCACCUCUCUCCUCACUCCUCUCACUUUCUUCCCCUCUCUCCCUCUUACUCUCUAGCCUUUCUUCUCUCUCUCCCUUUCCCCUUUCUCUCCUCUUGGCCAUGGCCGGUUUCUCUCUCCAUUUCCACCUUUUCUCUUUCCCCCUGCGUGAUAACACUAAAGCUCUAAAACCAUAGACUGUCUCUGUUCAUCAAGGCCUGCUGCACUUACUCUUGCCUGUGUGGGAACCUCUCUCCGGAGCCCCUGGUAUUGGGGGCUGCCCCUUGUCCAUACCUCCUCGAGUGGGGUCAGUGGCUUAAAUCCCACCUAGGACUGAGUGGAAAGCCUCCGGCAUUCUUCCCACAUCUGCCUGCCCAGAGCACAGGAGGAACUCUGGCCGGAUGUGGGCUAUCCUCCCUCCCCUCUUCUUCCCCAUACCCCUUUUAGUUCCCACAGAUGGUAGCAAGAAGAUGGUUCCAUCCAUGUAAGACAGAACCAGCUAAAAAAGACGCACACACAGACACACAUCAGAACUCCAAAUUUCUGGAUACCGUGAGUAAUCUAGUUCAAAACUAGGCUUCUCUCUCUCUCUCUCUCUCUCUCUCUCUCUCUCUCUCUCUCUCUAUCUCUCUCUCUCAAUCUCUCUCUCUCAAUCUCUCUCUCUCAAUCUCUCUCUCUCAAUCUCUCUCUCUCAAUCUCUCUCUCUCAAUCUCUCUCUCUCAAUCUCCCCCCCCCCCCACCACAGUGUUCCUGGUCAGCUUCCUCCUGUCUCUCUCACAGGUUUCAGCUGCAAGUAGCCUGCUCUCCAGGCUCUGCAGCCCCUUGGCUUUGAUCUGUGAAUAUACAAAUAUCUCUGCUCUGCAGCUGCACCUGCCCUAACUCUCUGCCUCCUCAAACAGCAGUGUUGCUCUGAGCUCUGUCCCUCCCUCCUCACCACAGCAUCCCAAGAGUGCGGCCCACACCAAGGGAGCGACCGCUGGCCCCCGCCCCAGGGAAAGGAGUCCCAGAAUGGACUGCGGACCAACGGACAAAGCGCCAGGCCAUCAAAACAGACCAUGGUGUGCUCUUAUGCAAACCAUUACAGGUCUAUCUCCACACAGUGCCUGCUGUCACAAGUCCACCUGAGACAGCUCCAUCUCCUGAGACCUACAGACAAAAGCUGCCUUCCUCCAAGAACCUCAUCUGACUGAAGACUCCCAAGACACACACUAAAUCCUACAAAAGACAGACUUGGGACCUUCCAGCUACAGAUGAACUCUCUUGCCAAAGCCAAAUGGCUGCUGAACUUGGGGAAAAUUACAUGAUAGUGAGGAAAACAUAAUGUCUAUCUAGAUUAAUUAAUUGAUGUUCAAAACUGAUGUUAUUAGCCUCAAAUUGUACUACCCAUGGAAAAAUUAAUUGAUCGUACAAUCUCUUACCUUCUCAACACUUACCUUAACUCUUACUACUGUGGCUUUGUUGUGCUACUUCUCUAGGCUAUAUGUUUUCUUCUGAUACUUCCACUCCACCCUAAAUUUUCACAACUAAUGACACAGUCACACAGUGUCACACACACCCCGUUUUCUUAUAAAAACAGACGGGAUACUUGUGGGGCAUUGGGCUAUGCACAGACGGCCUGGUUUCCAGUUGAAGCUAGAUGUUAAGCCCCAGGACCCGGUGGUGAUAAUUCACCUACAUAGGAUGGAAGGAGUUCUCUCAUACUCCUGGAACUCUGGCUCCUGUUGAAGUUACCACCCCUCAGCCCCUACAAGAGAAGCAUGGUUGGUAGUCACAUAGUCACAUAGGCAAUGUCCCAAG
rnacentral:lncRNA from 1 species